rnacentral:rRNA from 1 species
GAUGAACGCUGACAGAAUGCUUAACACAUGCAAGUCAACUUGAACUUCGGUUUGGGUGGCGGACGGGUGAGUAACGCGUAAAGAACUUGCCUCACAGAUAGGGACAACAUUUGGAAACGAAUGCUAAUACCUGAUAUUAUGAUUUUAGGGCAUCCUAGGAUUAUGAAAGCUAUAUGCACUGUGAGAGAGCUUUGCGUCCCAUUAGCUAGUUGGAGAGGUAACGGCUCACCAAGGCGAUGAUGGGUAGCCGGCCUGAGAGGGUGAUCGGCCACAAGGGGACUGAGACACGGCCCUUACUCCUACGGGAGGCAGCAGUGGGGAAUAUUGGACAAUGGACCAAGAGUCUGAUCCAGCAAUUCUGUGUGCACGAUGAAGUUUUUCGGAAUGUAAAGUGCUUUCAGUUGGGAAGAAAAAAAUGACGGUACCAACAGAAGAAGUGACGGCUAAAUACGUG